rnacentral:rRNA from 1 species
UAGGGAAUCUUCGGCAAUGGACGGAAGUCUGACCGAGCAACGCCGCGUGAGUGAAGAAGGUUUUCGGAUCGUAAAGCUCUGUUGUAAGAGAAGAACGAGUGUGAGAGUGGAAAGUUCACACUGUGACGGUAACUUACCAGAAAGGGACGGCUAACUACGUGCCAGCAGCCGCGGUAAUACGUAGGUCCCGAGCGUUAUCCGGAUUUAUUGGGCGUAAAGCGAGCGCAGGCGGUUAGAUAAGUCUGAAGUUAAAGGCUGUGGCUUAACCAUAGUACGCUUUGGAAACUGUUUAACUUGAGUGCAGAAGGGGAGAGUGGAAUUCCAUGUGUAGCGGUGAAAUGCGUAGAUAUAUGGAGGAACACCGGUGGCGAAAGCGGCUCUCUGGUCUGUAACUGACGCUGAGGCUCAAAAGCGUGGGGAGCAAACAGGAUUAGAUACCCUGGUAGUCCACGCCGUAACGAUGAGUGCUAGGUGUUGGAUCCUUUCCGGGAUUCAGUGCCGCAGCUAACGCAUUAAGCACUCCGCCUGGGGAGUACGACCGCAAGGUUG